UACGUAGGGUGCGAGCGUUGUCCGGAAUUACUGGGCGUAAAGAGCUCGUAGGUGGUUUGUCGCGUCGGCUGUGAAAACUCGGGGCUCAACUCCGAGCCUGCAGUCGAUACGGGCAGACUAGAGUGCGGUAGGGGAGACUGGAAUUCCUGGUGUAGCGGUGAAAUGCGCAGAUAUCAGGAGGAACACCGGUGGCGAAGGCGGGUCUCUGGGCCGAUACUGACGCUGAGGAGCGAAAGCGUGGGGAGCGAACAGG
rnacentral:rRNA from 1 species